GUAGGUGAACCUGCGGAAGGAUCAUUAACACUUUUUUUCAUAUCUAAUAUUAACUCAAUUUGAAUUUCGAUUUUAACCGAAUAGACGAGAACGAUCUUAACGCUAUGGUUGGGUUGAACGGUUUGUAUCAAAUCGCUUUGAUCAGCGUUAUCAUCUCGAUAUCCUUUUUCUGAAAAGAAAAAGAGGUAUUAAGUUCGACGACUAUGAGGGAUUACAGCCUCGACCAUGAUUGGCCAACAAAUUUUAUUAA
rnacentral:misc_RNA from 1 species